rnacentral:rRNA from 1 species
GACGUAGGGCGCAAGCGUUGUCCGGAUUUAUUGGGCGUAAAGAGCUCGUAGGCGGCUUGUUGCGUCGACUGUGAAAACCCGCAGCUUAACUGCGGGCCUGCAGUUGAUACGGGCAGGCUAGAGUUCGGUAGGGGAGACUGGAAUUCCUGGUGUAGCGGUGAAAUGCGCAGAUAUCAGGAAGAACACCCGUGGCUAAGGCGGCUCUCUAGUACGUGACUGACGCUGAGACGCGAAAGCGUGGGGGAGCGAACAGG